ACACGUAAUGACCAGCACGUUUGAGCGGUUUUUGCGGCUGUACUGGCGGUAUCUUGGAUUCAUCAGCGCUGGUCGAACUACACCGAUUUCCUCAGCUAUAAUUCUUCCAUAAGGAGGUGGCGUACAGGAACAUGUGCAAACACAUUCUACAUCCCAAGAUAUGUUGCUGGAAGCGUUCAAUAAAUGCUGUUAAGUUUCACCA
rnacentral:lncRNA from 1 species